UACGGAGGGGGCUAGCGUUGUUCGGAAUUACUGGGCGUAAAGCGCACGUAGGCGGCUUGGUAAGUUGGGGGUGAAAUCCCAGGGCUCAACCCUGGAAUUGCCUUCAAAACUGCUUGGCUCGAGUUCGGAAGAGGUGAGUGGAAUUCCCAGUGUAGAGGUGAAAUUCGUAGAGAUUGGGAAGAACACCAGUGGCGAAGGCGGCUCACUGGUCCGAUACUGACGCUGAGGUGCGAAAGCGUGGGGAGCAAACAGG
rnacentral:rRNA from 1 species